rnacentral:rRNA from 1 species
CUUCGGGGUCAGCGGCGGACGGGUGAGUAACGCGUGGGAACGUGCCCCUAUCUUCGGAAUAGCCCUGGGAAACCGGGAGUAAUGCCGGAUACGCCGAGCCAUAGCGAUAUGGUUUGGGAAAGAUUUAUCGGAGAGGGAUCGGCCCGCGUUGGAUUAGGUAGUUGGUGGGGUAACGGCCUACCAAGCCGACGAUCCAUAGCUGGUUUGAGAGGAUGAUCAGCCACACUGGGACUGAGACACGGCCCAGACUCCUACGGGAGGCAGCAGUGGGGAAUCUUGGACAAUGGGGGCAACCCUGAUCCAGCCAUGCCGCGUGAGCGAUGAAGGCCUUAGGG